ensembl:lncRNA
UGGAGAGAAGGUUGCAGGCAGCAAUGAGAGGAAUAUGUCUUUGGCAGAGUAGGAGACCUGAGCAUUCCUAGAGAGAAUGGGUGGGGGUGAGGACAGGACAGAAGAGGGGGCCAGUGGUCCCUAGGACCCUGCACAUCCAAACUUCCCUGUUCACUCAUUCGUGCAAUGCCAUUUCCACAGUAGCCACUGUAGGCCCAGCUCCACAUCAGGCUCAGACAGCAGAGAAACCCCCAUCAAAUCCAAGCCUGGGCUGCAGGAAGUUUCCACUCUUGGCAAUAAAACCAAUUGGGUUUUAUAAAGAGGGAAGUUGUGGGAGGCAUGCAGAGGACAUGCAGGAAUACUUGUUGAUGAAAACCACAAAGAAGCAAAGAAGGUGAAGGACAGGGGAGAGGGAGAACAGGGAGCAAGGGGCACAGAGGUAGGUGAGCUCAAAGGAGUGUUUAUAAGCACCUGCUGUUUGCCUGGAGCUCUACUGCCUUGUGCAGUUUUGCAUUUCAGUUUUGUGAUCAUCUUGACAAUGAGGAGCAGUAAUCACCAUCCGACAUGAGUAUCUGACCCCUAGGGAGGGUUCCAAACUAGCCAAGGGCACUCAGCCAGGAUGUGGCAGGUUCAAGGCCAGGUCAAAGUCCAGCACCAGAAAUUCUUUCACCUAAUGUGCAACUUCCCAGGAGUUUGGUGGCUGCCUCUGCACUUUGAUUUGAUGGCCCUGGCCUGGCUCUUCAACACCUCCUCCUUGCAAUGACUAAAUGAUAGCCACUCCUUUCAUAAGGGCACAGGGCCUCUAGAAGGGGUCUGAUGUGGAUGAAAUGGUGCCAUAAACUGUCCAUCCCCACUAAACACAGGGGCUGGAACUUACUCCCAAUGUAAGGGGAUCACCCAGAAACAAUAUCAGGACUUUUCUUCUUUUCUUUUCCUUUUGCAAGAAGAAAUGCCAUCAAACGAAUAGUAUUGUUCUAGGGACCAGAAGAGCUUGCAGUUAAAAAAUCUUUACCAGUUACAAUUUUGAUAACAUUUUAUAAAUGAGGAAAUUGAGGUUUAGGGAGGCAAAGUGACUUGCUCAGUCUCAAACACUUGGUCCAUCUUUGUCCCAGGUAUGAGCUCUCUAUCAUCACAGAGCACUCUGGCCUACAUUCUGGUGAUAGAGCAGAACUCUAUCCUGCUACCCACUACUGCCUAGGGAGAGAUUCCCAGUUUCUCCGCAGAAAAGAUGAUGUGUGGUCCCAAUCCUGCCCACUUUAUAUGAUGCUCUUAGGCAGUUAAAAUCUGUCCACCAGAGACAAAGGGGACAAAAAUAACACUUACCAUGUGGCACGACUGACACAAGUGGAUAAUACCCUUGUGGCACGAGGGGAUACCUCAGCACGUGUUUCCUAAAGCUAUAGAGAAGACACCAUGAAUUGGUGAACUAAAGCAUCUGGCCCACAUUUUGAGCAGUUAUCAUCACCAUCAUCCUCACUGCCUCCCUCAACUGUAAGGAAAACACCCAAUUUCAUUCUCAGAUGUUUGAUGUCCUAAGGGAGUGAGCAGAGAUAGGAUGUCUGGUUCCUCCACUGCUGACUUUCUGUGUGAUCUUAGAUGAGUCACUAGCCUCUCGGGGACCCUGUUUCCCUAUAUGUUCAUUCAUCUAUUUGCUUACUAUUUGCUUACCCAUCCAACUGCACAUCCAUCCACCAACCCAUCCACCCAUCCAUCUACCCACCUAUCCAUCCACUCAUCCAUCUACCCACCUAUCCACCAAUCCACCUAUCCACCUAUCCAUCCAUCCAUUCGUCCAUCCACUCACCCAUCCACCCAUCCACCCACCCACUCAUGCACCUAUCCAUCCAUCCACCCAUCCAUCCACCUACCCAUCCACCCACUCAUGCAUCUAUCAGUUAUCUAUAAAUUUUGUUUGCACAUCUCCUAUGCAUUGAGUGGCUCUUAGGUUCUGGGAGUGCAGCAAGCUCCUGCCUCUUGCUCUCUGGAGGUGAUCGUACAUGAAAGUCUAGCAACACAAGGGCCCAACUCUUUCUCACCACUAAUGCUCUAUUCCUGGGAAGGCAGUACAGCACAGUGGUUAAACGCUGGGCUUUGUAACUCAAUAGACCUCAAUUUGAAUGGUUUCUUUCCUAUUAACAGCCAUGGAACCUUGAACAGCUGGUGUAAACUCUUUGAAACUUUUUCAGUAAAGACCAUCAUUUAAGAAUCAAUGUUACACCUUAUUUACACUUUCAGUUUCUCACACUAGAGAAACCAUUUGGUAUUUACACAUGUGUCCUAUUUAUUUCACUUAAGAAUAUGGCCUCAAAAUGAUUAAAAUGAAUAAUUGAUAAUUUGAAAUAGGAAAAGGUCCAAAGGUAUAGGGGUGGUGGGAGGGGAAGGGGAAAUGAAAGAAGGGAAAGGAAAUAUUAUGAGAAAAGAAAAAAAAAUGGAACCAAAAUCUAUGUAAAUAGGGAAGGGUGGAGGGGGUGAAGGGUGCACAGGUAAUGGGGGAAAAAAUAGGAACCAAGAUACAUCAUGUACAGGUACACGCACCCAAUGAUAAAUGUAAAUGCAUUGUACCUAAAAUGUGCCAAUAAAAGAAUUUAAGGAAAAAAAGAAUAAAUGUUACAAUUAUUAUAAAUUAUUUAGGGGUAGUGCACAUAUCACAUAGUAAACUUCCAUCCAUCCAUUUAUACAUCCACCCAUCCUUUCAACAAAUGUAUUGUGAGCACCUAUCCAUGUACCAGC